rnacentral:misc_RNA from 1 species
UUUAGAAUUUUAAAAAACCAUACCCCCUCCAUCCCAUAGACAGGCCACAAAUGAUAGGUGGUGGUAGGUUUUAAAAUGGGUCUUGCGACCCUUUUUUUAAUGAUCCUUCCGCAGGUUCA